UACGUAGGGUGCAAGCGUUAAUCGGAAUUACUGGGCGUAAAGCGUGCGCAGGCGGUUUGUUAAGCCAGAUGUGAAAGCCCCGGGCUCAACCUGGGAACUGCGUUUGGUACUGGCAAGCUAGAGUACGGCAGAGGGGGGUGGAAUUCCACGUGUAGCAGUGAAAUGCGUAGAGAUGUGGAGGAACACCGAUGGCGAAGGCGGCCCCCUGGGCCGAUACUGACGCUCAGGCACGAAAGCGUGGGGAGCAAACAGG
rnacentral:rRNA from 1 species